GCCAACAUGUACAGUUCAGAACAAGAGGUCCCAAGGUCGUGCAGAGAAAUUCAAAGAACUGAUUAUCAACCAACAAUUGAGCAAGGUGACAGCAGACGCCAUUCCAGCACCAAUGACAAAAACAAGGGAAGGUGAAAAUUGAAGUGAGCCAGAUUGGCACAAGGGAUUUCUUGGUGAAGAUCAUAUGCACACAAAAAAGAGGUUGCUUUUUGAGGUUAAUGCAGGCUAUGGAUUCUUUUGGACUUCAAGUGACUGAUGCCAAUGUCACAACUUCUAAUGGCUUGGUCUUGAACGUUCUCAAAGCAGAGGCUUUCAGCGAGGAAAUCCAGGCGACAACUCUGAAGAAUUCAUUAAUGGAGUUAUUUCU